rnacentral:rRNA from 1 species
AUUGAACGCUGGCGGCAGGCCUAACACAUGCCAGUCGAACGGUAACAGGAAGAUGCUUGCUUCUUUGCUGACGAGUGGCGGACGGGUGAGUAAUGUCUGGGAAACUGCCUGCUGGAGGGGGAUAACUACUGGAAACGGUAGCUAAUACCGCAUAACGUCGCAAGACCAAAGAGGGGGACCUUCGGGCCUCUUGCCAUCGGAUGUGCCCAGAUGGGAUUGGCUAGUAGGUGGGGUAACGGCUCACCUAGGCGACGAUCCCUAGCUGGUCUGAGAGGAUGACCAGCCACACUAGAACUGGGACACGGUCCAGACGCCUACGGGAGGCAGCAGUGGGGAAUAUUGCACAAUGGGCGGAAGCAUGAUGCAGCCAUGCCGCGUGUAUGAAGAAGGCCUUCGGGUUGUAAAGUACUUUCAGCGGGGAGGAAGGGAGUAAAGUUAAUACCUUUGCUCAUUGACGUUACCCGCAGAAGAAGCACCGGCUAACUCCGUG